rnacentral:tRNA from 1 species
GCCCUCGUAGCUCAGUUGGCAGAGCGCAUCCUUGGUAAGGAUGAGGUCAUCAGUUCGACCCUGAUCGAGGGCU